rnacentral:rRNA from 1 species
CGGAUUGGAGUCUGNAACCCGACUCCCAUGAAGCUGGAUUCGCUAGUAAUCGCGCAUCAGCCACGGCGCGGUGAAUACGUUCCCGGGCCUUGUACACACCGCCCGUCAAGCCAUGGGAGUUUGUAACGCCCAAAGUCGGUGGCCUAACCUUUAUGGAGGGAGCCGCCUAAGGCGGGACAGAUGACUGGGGUGAAGUCGUAACAAGGUAAC